GAUGAACGCUGGCGGAGUGCCUAACACAUGCAAGUCGAGCGGCAGCGCGAGUAGUUUACUACUUGGCGGCGAGCGGCGGACGGCUGAGUAACGCGUGGGAACAUGCCCCAAAGUGAGGAAUAACUGCCCGAAAGGGUAGCUAAUGCCGCAUACGAUCUUCGGAUUAAAGGAUUUAUCCGCUUUGGGAGUGGCCUGCGUACGAUUAGAUAGUUGGUGAGGUAAUGGCUCACCAAGUCUACGAUCGUUAACUGGUUUGAGAGGAUGAUCAGUCAGACUGGAACUGAGACACGGUCCAGACUCCUACGGGAGGCAGCAGUGAGGAAUCUUCCACAAUGGACGAAAGUCUGAUGGAGCAACUCCGCGUGCAGGAUGAAGGCCUUCGGGUCGUAAACUGCUUUAUGAGUGAAGAAUAUGACGGUAACUCAUGAAUAAGGGUCGGCUAACUACGUGCCAGCAGCCGCGGUAAU
rnacentral:rRNA from 1 species